rnacentral:rRNA from 1 species
GACGAACGCUGGCGGCGUGCCUAAUACAUGCAAGUCGAGCGCAGUUGCGCACGGGGGAGUAACGCGUAGGUAACUGCCUCAUAGCGGGGGAUAAAUAUUGGAAACGAUAGCUACUACCGCAUACUGUGAGAUGGACCUGCGUUGUAUUAGCUAGGUGGUGAGGUAAAGGCUCACAAAGGCGACGGUACAUAGCCGACCUGAGAGGGUGAUUCGCCACCCGUGGACUGCGUACCGGCCCCGACCCCUUCUGUGGGCAGCAGUAGGGGAUCUUCGGCAAUGGGGGGAAGUCUUGCCGCGCAACGCCGCGUGAGUGAAGAAGGUUUUCGGAUUGUUAAGCUAUGUUGUUAGAGAAGCUGUAACUAACCAGAAAGGGACGGCUAACUACGUGCCAGCAGCCGCGGUAAUAC